AUGCUAAGGGACUUAUGUCCAUCAGAUUUUAAUAGACUUCCAAAACCUUUUGAACACUUUUCUUACAUGAAAGUUUGUAGUAUUAAAAUUUUUAACACAUGAAGGGAAGAGACUAACUUCUGAUGAUGAUGUAUAUUAUGCUGUUGGUCUUACCCGAUAGUUUACAACUGAAUUAGAUAAAAACAUGAAAGUACGGAUUAAAUGGCCACCCACAUCUGUAGAUGCGGGAAAUUUAGUCAGAAAGGAGAAAUCGCCUGAUCCAAAUUGGGGAGAAGAAAUUGUUUUAAUUAAGAGAUUUUAUGAUUUAUAUGAUAAGGCUGCUGCUUCAUGUAAGGGAUACGUAGAAGAUUCCAAUUAUGAAACAGAUCAUCGUAAAUUAGGAAGAGGACACAGAACAAAAAGAAAGAUACAACGUUUAGACUCUGAAUCUGAAAAUGAAUCAGACUCUGGAUUGCAAAAUUCUAGAGUCAAAAAGGGAAAGACUCGUUCAUCGAACAAGAAUCUUCAAAAAUUAAAGAAAACAAUACCAGCACCUCCUCCUGUUUCUUUUGUUAUGCCAUGAAGAUCCCCGCACGAAUUAGUGCGGCAGCAGACUCUCGAACUAGAGAAACAACCUCUUAAGAAGAUAAAUAUUAACAAAAUCUCUGAAAACGAAAAAUCAAGUGACCAAACGUAUCUUUAACAUGAAGAAAAAAAUACAGGAAGAAAAAGCUGAAAAUACUACGCUCUCUGAAAAACUUCGUCAAUUAUUGUCGAAUAAAAAACUCCAAAAAUCUUGUAAAGAUAAACUAACCCUGUAUCAAGAUGAAAAGACACUUGAACAUCAAAAUGUAGACGAUUUUGAUUUGGAUAAAAUUGAGAAUUUUGAAAAUCAAAAUUUUGAAAAAGAAUAAUAUUACAUCAACGAUUCCAGAGAAGCAAAUUGUUUUUGAAUACUGUCCAUCCUCUACAGAUAUCAAAAUUCUUUCGCCCAGCUCAUCUGAAAAGGAUUUUGUUUAUAACUCACCAAGUGAAGAGUUGAAGAGAAAUAGUUCUUUGUCACAUCUAUCCUCUUCUGCUGUAGGCAGAAGUUCUUUUAAUCUCAUUCUAAUGACAUUAUUUGUAUCAAUCUGAGAAGUCUGAAAGCAGUUCAUCUCAAAAUAAGUCUCAUUCUAAUGACGACUAUAUGUAUCAAUCUGAAAAGUCUGAAGGCAGUUUUUUUCAAAAUAAGGAUGCAGAUAUUUCUCUUGUAUGUCUCAUCAAAACGUAUCAUAAUGAAAUAAAAAAAGAAUUAAAAGAAUUGAAUAGUAAAUUAGAUUUUUGUUUACUAAAUCAAGAAAAACUACAUAGAUACAUACUUCCGGAUGAGAAAACUAUUAAAAGACCCACAGGAUUCCCCUCGCUUCCAAUUAAAUCUGAACAAGAACUACAGGCUUUAGAAACAUUUUUAUCCAACGAUGCAAAUUUAUCAGCGGCAAGUAUGUAUUUUGGAAGAUUUGUAGACAAAAAUAGUCUAGAUAAUUCAGUCAGGAAGAUAUUACGAAAUGUUAUUUGUAAAGAUGUAGCAAACAAAUACAGCUUUCAAGGAGCUAAGGGGAAAAAAAAUUUGAAAUAUUGAAGACGUGGGAGCUUAUUCUAGGUGAGCAAAAAUAUUUAAGAGAUUUCUAGGUAUUUCUUUUUACUUAAAACGUAACAUUUGUGUAACAUCUCAUUUUUCAAUUUAUUAAACUUCGUUAUUAUAAGUAGAAGAUAGUAAAAACAAAAAUAAUUAUGAUUGUUAUUCUGGUUCUUUUACACUUAGUAUUAAUACAAUUUAAUGCAUUUUGUUUAAGACAAAAUAAUUUGCCCUAUUUUAAUUUUUAAACUUUUAUAUUUUUUUUUAUGUUAGGGACUAAUUUAUAUCCUCAAAUUUUUUAUACUGAAUAAAAUUCUAUUUAUUUGUUAGAUUUCCAUGAGCAGUAAGAUUUUUUGUCUUAAAACUUAAAAUACAUGCAAAGAAAAUUAACUAUAUAUAUAUAUAAAUCUCAUUUUAUUAAUUAUGAAAACAAUUUUUACAUUUUUAAAGAAAGUUAAAGUUAACUAAUGUCUUAAAUAAUCUUAAGUACUUUGAAAUAGUUUUUGUCACAAGGAUAUGUAUCUAUUUCAUGUUUAGGUGCACUACUAUUAUAUUUUGAACCAGAAGAAAUGGUCACGGCUGACAAUGUUGCAAAGUUAUGGUUGGCCAAUGCUCCAUGGCGCACACAAACGGAUGGGACUAUUCGUGGCAAAAAAUGCAACCAAAGAGAAUAAUAAAUAUGUAUAAAAAUAAAUAAAAUUAAUUAAAAAUAUAUUAAAAACCUUUUUUGUUAGUUUAUUAUUAUUUGUAUAAGAAUCAAUCACGGUUUUACCAAUUAUGGUUGAACUAACAGUUCAAGUUAAUAAAGUAUUAAAAGAUAAAAAAUCGUUAUACUUGUAUCUACAUCCUGUUAACUUUAACCGUCAAUUUAAUCGUAGUUGGUGAAAUUUAGGGUAACUUCGACCAAUUCUGAUUAACUUUAAUUGUUGAUUAAAGGCUUCCCAACGUAAUAAAAUAAUUCAGUGUUACUAACUUGUAUUUCUAACAAUGUAAUCGUUCUAAUCUAAUCUAAUUUUGUUGAAACAGUUGGUUACUUUGAAUUAUUUUGUUAUGUUAACAAAUCGUUAAUCAACCAUUAAACUUAAUCGGAGUUGGUUGAAUAAGUGGCCCAAAAAAUAGUUUGUUGAAUUGAUAUCGAAUCGAUGUCGAUUCGAUAUCGAUAAAUCAUCGAAACUGUGAUCAUCUGAAUAUCAAAUUUGAUAUAUAAAUCGACGUAAAAUUUCGAUGUCGAAUCGAUAUCGAUUCGAUGUCGAUUCGAUGUAUCAUUUCUCACUGGGGUUAGAUUCACGUGGUGCCCGGCACAUAAAAAUAUUUUAAGAAAUGGAAUUGCAGAUGGAGCAGCAAAGGACGGGGCUUUGAUGGGUGAAACUAUUGAAAAUAAUAUAGUAUUUUCGGGAAUGAUCUUCUCGUUGAGGGGAAGUUACGUUGAAAUAGAUAGAGAAUAUCUAAAUAAAAUUAAUAUUGGAACCGGUAAUUAUUACAUGAAUAACUUUGCAGAGUUAAAAAUAGAAAAAGUCUUUAAAUUUGGACUCCCGCGUAAACAGGCUUGUAUUCUAUCCAGAAUUAUUGUGGGAUACCCUUAUAUUAAUGUAAUUAAAUAUAAUAUGAUUGAGAUAUGAGAUAAAUUUCUCACUGACGAAACAAAACUGAACGACGGCUGGAUUCCAGUGAGAGUCAUGUUAGAUUUUAAAUUGUUAGCUGCUCUCACCAAAAAUAUUGAUAUCAUUCUGAAAACUUUGAAGACUAGUGAUCUCGUGGAGAUUUUUGGGGACAGGAAGAAGAUACGUUGAUCACCAAAACAUCCGUUUUCAGAAAAUAAUGAGAAAUGCUCAGAGGCUCAGAGAGAACGAAUAAUUUAUGCAAAAGGAUUUUCUUUGAAUAGCACUAUUUUAAACUUCAAAAACUUUUUCGAACUGUAUCAACCGUAUGAAAAGAUUGUGGUAAGUAUAUAUAAUUCAUUAAUUAAGAUAAAACUAUGAUAUCCCAUACAGCACAACAUCUUUCAAAAAGAUUUUUGAAAGAUAUCUGACAGAAGAUUGGUUUGUGGGAUGUAUAUAAUUAAAAGUGAUCUCAUAGAGAUUUCUGAUGAGAACAGGAAGAAGAUACGUUGAUCACCAAAACACCCGUUUCCAGAAAAUAAUGAGGAAUGCAUAAAGGCUCAAAGAGAACGAAUAAUUUAUGCAAAAGGAUUUUUUUUGGAUAGCACUAUUCUAAACUUCAAAAACUUUUUUGAACUAUACCAACCGUAUGAAACGAUUGUGGUAAGUAUAUGUAAUUCAUUAAUUAAGAUAAAACUAUAAUAUCCCAUACAGCACAACAUCUUUCAAAAAGGUUUCUGAAAGAUAUCUGACAGAAGAUUGGUUUGUGGGAUGUAUAUAAUUAAAAUUUAUAGUAGGCCACAGCAGAAUGUUAUUGCUUAAUAUACAGGAAGUGCGUUUCACUUAACACUCGCAACGCCAUUGGAAUCAUUUAAUCUUUACUGCUUAUUGAAUAUUAAACAAAGACAAAUAAUGUUUGCAAGUAUCGUGAGUGUUAAGUGGAACGCAUCCAAAGUAUUUCUUAAUGGCUGUCCUAACUCUUCAUCAUGGGAGGUGGCAUUAUCGACCGCAACCUAUAUAUUAAUAUAUUAAAAAUUAUUUUUUAAUAUAUUUAGUAAAUUAGCUAAUUUUAUUUUGCAGAUAAAAAAGUUUCUAGAUAAAAAUAAAAAUAAACAUUUUAUGGGAUCUGUUUUUGUGCUAUUUAUAACUGUUGGUGGCGCAAAAGCGUUUCUGAAUUUAGAAUCCGUAAAAUAUAAAGAUAAAAUAUAAAGAACCGAAUUAAUAAGGAAAUGGUUGUAAGUAAAAAUUUAUCUAAAAACAGAAAAAAAAAUUAAUACAGGGGAAACAAAAUCUCGUUGACACAAAUUUUACAAUUUUAGUACUUAAAAUUUUAAACAUUAUAAUUAAAUUAUAAUGUGAUUUUCUAAAAGAUGAUAAACAAAUCAAAGAAUAAAUUAAAUAAAACCCAGUAAGAUGGUGAGAAAGGUAGAAAGGCCAUUUCGAAAGAUGAAAAAUGUUUUAUAUUAAAUAUAAUAUAAUGAUGUUUAGCCAUGCUAAUAUGGAUCGAGAAAUCAUAAGAAUUUUACAUAUAGAUUUCGCUGAAUUAAACUUGUAACAACUAAAUCUUUUAUUAUAUAAUAUAUAUUGUAAUGAUGUUUAGCCAUGCUAAUAUCGAGAAAUCAUAUGAAUUUUACAUGUGGAUUUCGUUUAAUUAAACUUGUAACAACUGAAUCCUUUAUUAUAGUGUAAAAUAAUUUCCUGCUUUAAAGAAGCAAGUGCUAAUGAAAUUUUUUAUGUGUUCAAAGGACGUGUGG